rnacentral:rRNA from 1 species
CUCUAAGCUCGGCUCGCAUGGUGCCUUUGGUGCGGAGCUUGCUCCACCGGGGAAAAGAGGACAGGGGAAUGGUUGAUUAGCGGCUGGGUAACGUGCCCUUCAAAACGGGAUAAUGCGGGUAAACUUGUGCUAAGGCCUUAUAACAAGCGAAACCGUGUGGUUUCGUUUUGAAGGGCGGUUUACGGUGGCGCUGAUGGAUGGACCCCCGGUGCAUUAUCUAGGUGGUGAGGUAACGGGUCGCCAAGGCCACCAUGCAUAGCCGACCUGAGAGGGUGAUCGGCCACAUUGGGACUGAGACACGGCCCAAACUCCUACGGGAGGCAGCAGUAGGGAAUCUUCGGCAAUGGACGAAAGUCUGACCGAGCAACGCCGCGUGAGUGAAGAAGGUUUUCGGAUCGUAAAACUCUGUUGUUAGAGAAGAACAAGGGUGAGAGUAACUGUUCACCCCUUGACGGUAUCUAACCAGAAAGCCACGGCUAACUACGUGCCAGCAGCCGCGGUAAUACGUAGGUGGCAAGCGUUGUCCGGAUUUAUUGGGCGUAAAGCGAGCGCAGGCGGUUUCUUAAGUCUGAUGUGAAAGCCCCCGGCUCAACCGGGGAGGGUCAUUGGAAACUGGGAGACUUGAGUGCAGAAGAGGAGAGUGGAAUUCCAUGUGUAGCGGUGAAAUGCGUAGAUAUAUGGAGGAACACCAGUGGCGAAGGCGGCUCUCUGGUCUGUAACUGACGCUGAGGCUCGAAAGCGUGGGGAGCAAACAGGAUUAGAUACCCUGGUAGUCCACGCCGUAAAACGAUGA